UUCAUCAAAUGGCAUCUACACAAUUGCUCUAGAUACGUGUGUGCUCGUUGCGACGAUGCUAAAAAAUGGUGAAAAAAUAAAAAAAGUGUUUCAAGUGUUCGCACGAGUUCUGGAUAAAUGUCGAUAAAAUGUUGCUUUUAAAUGCAAUCAAUUACAGUUUGUUCGAUUUCUGUUCCUUUCGUUGGUCUUGGGGCUCAUAUUAUGGGGAGCUGACUACGCGACAGAUACACUGACAGCGACAGUGGGCACCGUUGUUUUGAUACUUACAGCCUUGGAUGGCGGCCCACUUGAACGUAAUCGACGUAAAGAUGCUAGUGACGUAUGCACGAAAGUUUCAAUGAGAUUUUCACAGAAUGUCUGAAGAUGGGAUUACGGUAAGAUUUGAACAAGUGGCAGGUUAACCGAUAAAAGGUAAUGCGAUACUCAGUAGGUAAUUGCCUAGAAGCAACAAGCUUUGAAAUAGCAAUGAAUGGCGGAAAAUUAACAUGUAAAGAAUUUCCUCUUGUUUUAAUGUGGACAAUUAUGCAAAUUUUGUAAAUCUGAAUGAUAAUUAAGUUGAUUUCCAGCUUUAAAUGGCGUAUUAUAUUUCUAGCCAUUUACAUCGAGAUUAUAGUAACAUAUUUUUUUUAACCACCAACAUUAAGUAUAUGCCUCGCCUCCUGCUUUGUGAAAUAUAUCGGACUUCCAUACAACCUCUUCUUCGGUAUUAUUAUUCUUUUUCCUACAUUUCAUUCUUAGUAAGACUGACCUUCAGAUUCAUUCAUUCAUUCAGGAGAAGUGGGACAACAAUAAAAACGAACAUAAACAUCCAUGACGUAACCGAGAUACGAACGCGAAGUACAAGAUCGACAGACUGACACUCAGCCGACUCGAUUAUCAUGCCUUUUGCAUCAUCUCAAUUUUAG